rnacentral:rRNA from 1 species
AUUGAACGCUGGCGGCAUGCUUUACACAUGCAAGUCGAACGGCAGCGCGGGCUUCGGCCUGGCGGCGAGUGGCGAACGGGUGAGUAAUGCAUCGGAACGUGCCCAGUAGUGGGGGAUAGCCCGGCGAAAGCCGGAUUAAUACCGCAUACGACCUGAGGGUGAAAGCGGGGGACCGAAAGGCCUCGCGCGAUUGGAGCGGCCGAAGACGGGUUUGCGAGUUGGUGGGGUAAGGGCGUACCAAGGCGACGAUCCGUAGCUGGUCUGGGAGGACGACCAGCCACACUGGGACUGAGACACGGCCCCGACUCCUACGGGAGGCAGCAGUGGGGAAUUUUGGACAAUGGGGGCAACCCUGAUCCAGCCAUGCCGCGUGCGGGAAGGAGGCCUUCGGGUUGUAAACCGCUUUUGUUCGGGAAGAAAUCCUCUGGGCUAAUACCCCGGGGGGCUGACGGUACCGUAAGCAUAAGCACCGGCUAACUACGUG